CCUACGGGAGGCAGCAGUGGGGAAUAUUGCGCAAUGGGGGCAACCCUGAUGCAGCAACGCCGCGUGAUUGAAGAAGGCCUUCGGGUUGUAACGAUCUUUAAUCGGGGACGAAUUUUGACGGUAUCCUAAGCAUAAGCUCCGGCUAACUACGUACCAGCAGCCGCGGUUAUCCGGAGGGCGCAAGCGUUAUCCGGAUUUACUGGGUGUAAAGGGAUUGUAGGCGGGCGUGCAAGCCAGAAGUGAAAUUUGGGGGCUGAACCCCGAAACUGCUUUUGGGACUGCGUGUCUUGAGUGAUGGAGAGGCAGGCGGAAUUCCCAGUGUAGCGGUGAAAUGCGUAGAGAUUGGGAGGAACACCAGUGGCGAAGGCGGCCUGCUGGACAAUAACUGACGCUGAGGCGCGAAAGCGUGGGGAGCAAACAGGAUUAGAUACCCCAGUAGUC
rnacentral:rRNA from 1 species